rnacentral:rRNA from 1 species
UACGGAGGGGGGCUAGCGUUGUUCGGAAUUACUGGGCGUAAAGCGCGCGUAGGCGGACCUGCAAGUCGGGGGUGAAAGCCCGAGGCUCAACCUCGGAACUGCCUUCGAUACUGCGGGUCUCGAGUCCGGGAGAGGUGAGUGGAAUUCCUAGUGUAGAGGUGAAAUUCGUAGAUAUUCGGAAGAACACCAGUGGCGAAGGCGACUCACUGGACAGGUAUUGACGCUGAGGUGCGAAAAGCGUGGGGAGCAAAGCAGGGAUUAAGAAACCC